rnacentral:rRNA from 1 species
UACGGGGGGGGCAAGCGUUGUUCGGAAUUACUGGGCGUAAAGGGCUCGUAGGCGGCCAACUAAGUCAGACGUGAAAUCCCUCGGCUUAACUGGGGAACUGCGUCUGGUACUGGAUGGCUUGAGUUUGGGAGAGGGAUGCGGAAUUCCAGGUGUAGCGGUGAAAUGCGUAGAUAUCUGGAGGAACACCGGUGGCGAAGGCGGCAUCCUGGACCAACACUGACACUGAUGAGCGAAAGCCAGGGGAGCAAACGGG